CCCUACGGGUGCCGCGUUCGGAAUGAGUACGAUUCGAACCACCUAACGAGGAACGAUCGGAGGGCAAGUCUGGUGCCAGCAGCCGCGGUAAUUCCAGCUCCAAUAGCGUACGUUAAAGUUGCUGCAGUUAAAAAGCUCGUAGUUGAACGUUCGGGUUCCGCGGGACGGGGCCGCCCCGCGAGGGACGGCGCCGCCCCGGGGCUCGUGAUAUCUCAUCUCGCCGCCCGUCGCGAGGCGGACGGAGGGAUGGAUGAGGUUACCUGGAAAAAAUCGGGGCGAUCUAGGCGGGCGAACCUCGCCAACGAACGAUCGGACAUGGGAUAACGGAAGAGGGCGUCGGCUCGACUUCGUCGGUUCCUCGGGCCGAGGCACGUACGGUGAAUAGGGACGGUCGGGGCCGCCCGUACCGGGUCGUGAGAGGUGAAAUUCUAGGAUCGACCCGAGACGAACCGCCGC
rnacentral:rRNA from 1 species